rnacentral:rRNA from 1 species
UACGAAGGGGGCGAGCGUUGUUCGGAAUCACUGGGCGUAAAGGGCGCGUAGGCGGCCCUCUUAGUCGCGUGUGAAAGCCCCGGGCUCAACCUGGGAACGGCGCGCGAAACGGGAGGGCUGGAGUUCGGGAGAGGAGAGUGGAAUUCCCAGUGUAGAGGUGAAAUUCGUAGAUAUUGGGAAGAACACCGGUGGCGAAGGCGGCUCACUGGCCCGUAACUGACGCUCAUGCACGACAGCGUGGGGAUCAAACAGG